rnacentral:lncRNA from 1 species
GUGGAGGCUUACAGUAGAAAUCUGACGUGGACCGCUCAUAGUAGAAAUUCGAAGUAGACCGCUUGUAGUGGUAGCUCAGAGUAGAUCGCUUGUAGUAGAAGCUCGGAGUAGAUUGCUUGUGGUGGGGGCUCGGAGCCUGAUCCUUGUAAGAAUUCGGAUGAGGUCUACCUGCAAUAGGAGCUCAGGGCUGAAGUCCAGCUCCCGUAGGAGCUCGGACGAAGUCUACC